rnacentral:rRNA from 1 species
GACGAACGCUGGCGGCGUGCUUAACACAUGCAAGUCGAACGGAAAGGCCCUGCUUUUGUGGGGUGCUCGAGUGGCGAACGGGUGAGUAACACGUGAGUAACCUGCCCUUGACUUUGGGAUAACUUCAGGAAACUGGGGCUAAUACCGGAUAGGAGCUCCUGCUGCAUGGUGGGGGUUGGAAAGUUUCGGCGGUUGGGGAUGGACUCGCGGCUUAUCAGCUUGUUGGUGGGGUAGUGGCUUACCAAGGCUUUGACGGGUAGCCGGCCUGAGAGGGUGAACGGCCACAUUGGGACUGAGAGACGGCGCAGACUGCUACGUGCGGCAGCGGUGGGGAAUAUUGCAGAGCGAGGGGAAGCCUGAUGCAGAAGUGCCGCGUGCGGGAUGACGGCCUUCGGGUUGUGAACCGCUUUCGCCUGAGACGAAGCGUGAGUGACGGUAAUGGGUAAAGAAGCACCGGCUAACUACGUG